rnacentral:tRNA from 1 species
GGCUUUGUAGUGUAGCGGUUAUCACUUGAGAUUCUGACGCACUGGCGUUACCUUCUCAAAACCCAGGUUCGAUUCCUGGCAAGGCCU